AAAUUCAGUUAUGUCAGGUGUGUAGUGACUUCUAUUUAACAUGAGUUUGAAUGUGAUUGGUUAAUUCUGAACACAGCCACAUCCCCAGUUAUAAGAGGGUGUGAACAAUUAUUCAACCAGGUUAUUGUAAGUUUAUUUUAUU